UACGUAGGGUCCGAGCGUUGUCCGGAAUUAUUGGGCGUAAAGAGUGUGUAGGCGGUGCUCCAAGUCUGGUGUGAAAUCUCCCGGCUUAACUGGGAGGGUGCAUUAGAAACUGGAAUGCUAGAGGAUGGGAGAGGUAAGCGGAAUUCCUGGUGUAGCGGUGAAAUGCGUAGAUAUCAGGAGGAACACCUGUGGUGUAGACAGCUUACUGGACCAUUUCUGACGCUGAGACACGAAAGCGUGGGUAGCAAACAGG
rnacentral:rRNA from 1 species